GUGUGGGAAUCUGUGCCCAGUAAUACCUCUCCCGGUCUACAAUGACCUUCUUGGGCAAGAGCAACAUGGCAUACACCCUUGUAAUCCGGAUUAGCCCUGAAAUUACCAAGAUCUUUAAUGUCAUAAAAGUACUUGAUGUUUUGCUCCGUACAAAACUCCCUCAAGAUAUCCACAUUCCGGUUUGCACGCUCAUCACUAGUGAAAAUGUAGUGAUCUGGUAUAAUAACAAUCUUUUCACGGUCCCAAACCUUCGCAUCUGGACCAAACUCCUGCUUGAAAAUCCCUAACGUCCCCGGCCCGGCGAUAUCAUGUGUCAUGAACAUAUCAACAUUCACCCAAACAUUCUCCCCCGGAUCCACCUGCGCCCGCUCCGACGCCCUCGCCAGGAUCUUCUCCGUCACAGUCAACGCAUUCUUAACUGAGCCAGUUGUCGCCGGAGCCCGCUGCUUCUGUGCCGGCGCCAUGACUGCUAGGGUUUUGACCAUAGAUCUCCUCCAAGAUUUACGUGCGGCGAUUGAAUUUGAGGUGUACGGGGCGAAUUUCAGCUCCUCUCCGUCGAGACGAACGGAGCUGGAGGCGAUGAAGGAUGGAACUGAAGCCAUCUAGACCGAUUUUGCUCGCCCUGAGUGGGGAGUUUCGUCGCCGGCUGUGGUGGCGGUGGCGGUGGCGUGUGGGGGGAGUGGGAGAGGGGAGCUGGAAUUGUUAUAGGAAAAAGCUACUGACGAGUUGGCCUCGUCGGACUCGGCGAAUAGUGGCCG
rnacentral:misc_RNA from 1 species